rnacentral:lncRNA from 1 species
ACAACCCAUCACUUGUAUUUAAAACCAUGCAUAAUUUUGUAGGUUAUAGCCUACUUCAAUUAAGCCAAUUUUCAUGGCCAUAUACAAAGAGAUAAACACAUUUUUACAUGCCUUCAUUUGAAAAAUCAAAUGACACAUAUAAUAAAAUACUCAAAAAUACUAUACAUGCCAUUGAACAAAAUAAAUUGAGUCUUUAUACCAAAGCUUGUCUAGUUGAUUGUGUGUUGACUCUCCAAUCGUCUUCUAGUCCUAAUGGGUUCUCGAGCUCUGCAAGACGGGGAAAAAGAGAGGGGUAACUAUUUUCAUGCUUAGUAAGCUCGAAUAACUGGAAAGUAAACUUACCAAGUAAUUAGCACACAUCCAUACUUAAAUCAUGAAAUCAUUAAUUAUGAAAUGAUUUCCUAUCACAUGCACUCAAUCAAUGAGUUAGUCAUAUAACAAAGCAUCAUAUUAAUCCUGUUGAGUUUCUAGGAAAUCUCGAUGGAAUACCCAUUAUCCGUCAAUUCUUACGAAUGAUCAUUUCACAUAUAUGCACUCCCGCGAACCUCACAUCUCAUGGCAGGAUUACCAGUCCAGGCUAAAUCCCUCAUAUCAUGAACUCAUAAGGUGAGGUCGGGAUUACCAGUCCAGGCUAAAUCCCUUAUAGUGACAAACAC